rnacentral:rRNA from 1 species
GUGGGGAAUUUUGGACAAUGGGCGCAAGUCUGAUCCAGCAAUGCCGCGUGCAGGAAGAAGGCCUUCGGGUUGUAAACUGCUUUUGUACGGAACGAAACGGUCCUGGUUAAUACCUGGGGCUAAUGACGGUACCGUAAGAAUAAGCACCGGCUAACUACGUGCCAGCAGCCGCGGUAAUACGUAGGGUGCGAGCGUUAAUCGGAAUUACUGGGCGUAAAGCGUGCGCAGGCGGUGCUGUAAGACAGGCGUGAAAUCCCCGGGCUCAACCUGGGAAUUGCGCUUGUGACUGCAGUGCUGGAGUACGGCAGAGGGGGAUGGAAUUCCGCGUGUAGCAGUGAAAUGCGUAGAUAUGCGGAGGAACACCGAUGGCGAGGCAAUCCCCUGGGCCUGCACUGACGCUCAUGCACGAAAGCGUGGGGAGCAAACAGGAUUAGAUACCCGUGUAGUCC